ACUCUUAUGAUAAAAACGUAAGACGUCUUACUAAUAGACCCAAAGAUCUUUUGGUUUCUCUGUCAAAAUAAGCCUGAAGUAGAUAAACCUCUGUCUAAUAACUACUGUCUAAUAUUUUAUCUUAUUUGGAAAUGAUCUAGAGACUCCAUAAAUUUCUAUCAUUCAGCUGAACUUAAUAAAACUUGAAGGUGUCAAGUAACCAAAGGUUGUGAAGUUCGGUCCAUACACCAGAACACCUAAUUGUUGUUCAAAAGUUCACCCAGCCCUUUCCUCUUACUGAUAUCUAUUUCGUUGACUUGUUUGCAAUAAUUGAGGGCUUCUGCCAGGAGCUCGAUUGAGCCCACGGCAGCCCUGGAAAGCCGGUUUCCACUGUGUGGUUCCAGGACCUUGAGAAGAGACAUUGGUGUGGUGCUGGGCAAAGAUGGUGUGGUGCCCGGCGUCAGCUGGGCAAAGAUGGUGUGGUGCCCGGCGUCAGGAGCCACAGGGAAGCGCUCCGAGUAGCCUUCCAUGCGGGCGAACAUGGAAAUGCGCCCUUGAAAACCUUGAGAGCCGAAACCCUUGCUUCUCUCCAAGCUGCUGCUUCUAGCGGGGAAGCCAGUGUCUUCGUGAGUUUGAGCCGCGGGCCCAGAGCGCUAGGGUGUGUGCUGAAAGCCAAGCCAAGAAGCUGAGGUUUGGAGAGUUGAGAGAGGAGCCAGGACGUGAGUGAAGCAGGAAGUUGCCCCUAGCCAGGGAGGGGGGGAAGUGGCUGUGUGAGAGGGGCCCCAGGGUGGCUGGCAGGCGGCGGGCUGGCAGAGGCCGGCAGUGCCAAGGCUUGGCUGGAGUGGAGAUGCAGCUGGGGCUGGCGUCGAGGGCCCUGAGAAGCCGGUGUGUCGGGCCCGGAGGGCAGUGUGUGCGGAGGCGGGGCCUGGGCAAAGCCCAGGCGGCAGAGCUUCCCAGGGCUGACCCAGUGGCAAUGCCCUCCAUCUGAGUCACUAUAAUACAUAAGGACCCCAGUCACCGAACAUCAGGACCCUGUGGUCCUGACCUGCCUCACACAUGACACGGGGAUCUCCACCCAGUGAUUCUUCAAUGACCAGGUUCUAUGGCUCAUGGAGAGGAUGAAGCUGUCCCAGGACAACAGCAACCUCACCAUAGACCCCAUCAGGAGGAAGGAUGCUGGUGUGAUUAUCACUGAGAGGCCUCCAACUGGAUCAGUUCCAGCAGAAGUGACAUCCUCAAGCUUGAUGUAAAAUAUGAGUCUUGGCCUCUGGUUCUCUUCUCUUCCUCUAUGUUAAACUUUGAAGAUAUUUUUUUUCUUAUCUGUAAAAUGAUGAAUCACUUUUCAAGUACAGUUGUAAUAGUCAAUGAUGAAGGUGUAAAUUCUAUAGAAGACUUGCAUUAGGUCAAUAAAUGCUCAACAAUGUGA